GGUUUAAUUCGAUGCAACGCGAAGAACCUUACCUGGUCUUGACAUCCCGGAGACCCUUAGGAAACUAGGGGGUGCUUCCAUCUGGAAGAAUCUGGAGACAGGUGCUGCAUGGCUGUCGUCAGCUCGUGUCGUGAGAUGUUGGGUUAAGUCCCGCAGCGAGCGCAACCCUUGCCUUUAGUUGCCAGCAGUUCGGCUGGGCACUCUAAAGGGACUGCCGGUGUUAAACCGGAGGAAGGUGGGGAUGACGUCAAGUCCUCAUGGCCUUUAUGACCAGGGCUACACACGUACUACAAUGGCCGAUACAAAGGGCAGCGACACUGCGAGGUGAAGCCAAUCCCGUAAAAUCGGUCUCAGUCCGGAUUGGAGUCUGCAACUCGACUCCAUGAAGUUGGAAUCGCUAGUAAUCGUGGAUCAGCAUGCCACGGUGAAUACGUUCCCGGGCCUU
rnacentral:rRNA from 1 species